rnacentral:rRNA from 1 species
GAAGGGACCUAGCGUAGUUCGGAAUUACUGGGCUUAAAGAGUUCGUAGGUGGUUGAAAAAGUUGGUGGUGAAAUCCCAGAGCUUAACUCUGGAACUGCCAUCAAAACUUUUCAGCUAGAGUAUGAUAGAGGAAAGCAGAAUUUCUAGUGUAGAGGUGAAAUUCGUAGAUAUUAGAAAGAAUACCAAUUGCGAAGGCAGCUUUCUGGAUCAUUACUGACACUGAGGAACGAAAGCAUGGGUAGCGAAGAGGAUUAGAUACCCUCGUAGUCCAUGCCGUAAACGAUGUGUGUUAGACGUUGGAAAUUUAUUUUCAGUGUCGCAGCGAAAGCGAUAAACACACCGCCUGGGGAGUACGACCGCAAGGUUAAAACUCAAAUGAAUUGACGGGGACCCGCACAAGUAGUGGAGCAUGUGGUUUAAUUCGAAGAUACGCGCAGAACCUUACCAACACUUGACAUGUUCGUCGCGACUCUAAGAGAUUAGAGUUUUCGGUUCGGCCGGACGAAACACAGGUGCUGCAUGGCUGUCGUCAGCUCGUGUCGUGAGAUGUUGGGUUAAGUCCCGCAACGAGCGCAACCCUCACUUUUAGUUGCCAUCAUUAAGUUGGGCACUCUGAAAGAACUGCCAGUGAUAAGCUGGAGGAAGGUGGGGAUGACGUCAAGUCCUCAUGGCCCUUACGUGUUGGGCUACACACGUGCUACAAUGGUAUCUACAACAGGAAGCAAGACUGCGAAGUUAAGCAAAUCCCUAAAAGAUACCUCAGUUCGGAUUGCACUCUGCAACUCGAGUGCAUGAAGCUGGAAUUACUAGUAAUCGUGGAUCAGCGUGCCGCGGUGAAUGCGUUCCCGGGUCUU